rnacentral:lncRNA from 1 species
CUUCCGGUUAUUUCCAACGGAAACGGCCAAUAUGUAGCUUGAGAAUGGAAAUACACUUAUUUCCAUUCUCAAGGCCUGUCUAUCAUGGCCCGGAGUACACCCUGGCGGUAUCCAUGAGUAGCCGGACGAGCCUCUUCCCGUCGGUGGCGAGGUGCCCCAGCACACGUUCGCGAUAUGUGAACUCGCACGUGUACUGGCGCAAGCUUUCGUCAUUCCUUGUUGACUUGAUGAUGUCCUGUUGGGACAUAUGUUUGUUAUUGCCAGAGCCGAUACCUGAGUAUGCACCGAACAAGCAAAACAGAUUGAGUAACACAUAAUUCAGUCUGCGAUUCCUAAUUUCUAUAUCAGUGGUUCUCAACCGCCGUUCCG